UAAAAUGUGCAAAUAUGCGAACUGCAACUGCCUAAAAACCCACUAAAAUAUCUAAUGAAUUGAAAUUUACGGACGAAGAGCGACAUAAAAAUACAAUCUAAGCCCACGGGCGACUACAACUACAACUGCUAGAAACUUCUUUUCGAGGAAAAAUCAUUGAAAAUAUUCCCCCAAACGAGAGAGCCUGAGCAGAGAGCGGCCGGCGACGGCUACAAAGCGACAACUGAGCGCACGGCGAAUUCGAAGUCAACUCGCUGUAUUUAUUUAGCAUGGAGACGUCGACGUCGGCAGCGAAGCGAAGUUCGUUGAAAUUUUGAAUGUGUGACAACGCGGUUCAGUCUGCCGCCAGCGCGGCCCGAAGCAGUGCAUGUUAACCCAACUGAGCGUUAGCAGGCGAAUUUGAAUGCCAAAGGACAAAGGAUGAAGAUUUACCGCUAGGGCAGCAAAAGGCAGACACAGUGGGGCAGAAAUUGCACUUUUCAAUGAAAAAGUAUUCCUUUGCCCACUGUGAACCGUAGAUAUCGUGCAGGCUUCUUAGGAAAUAUACAUCACAAUAUAUAUUUGAAUGCUUGCAAAAACACCUUGCCUAUGAUUUACUUCACAGCUUUGUCCAUCGAAAGUAACUAGGAGAAAAAGAAGCAGCCCCGCGUGACGUCAGCCCGCCCACAAAACACACUCGAAAGUAUUGAAAAAUGCAGACAUUUUUUGUUUGGUUUUUAGCAACUCUCUAUUUUUUUUGGUUAUUGUUUAUUGGUUUUUUUAACGCACCGCUGAAAUGUUAAUAACAGCCCUCGUUACUGUUAAGUGGUCACACUCUCUCUCAAUUUUUCUUUGUGGUUUCAAUGAAAGUGAGCUACAAAGCUGCAAAUCGAAAUUCGUAAUGAUUUGAUUUGAUUGGAAUUUUAAAAAUUUUGAGUCUCAAUGAAGCGAAAGAAAAACAAUGAGUUAAAUAAUAAAUGGAGGAUGAAAUUUA